AGCAGCCGCGGUAAUUCCAGCUCCAAUAGCGUAUAUUAAAGUUGUUGCAGUUAAAAAGCUCGUAGUUGAACUUCGGGGUUCACCCAUUGGUCAGGCUUAAUUGUCUGUACUGGUGAGAUGAGUCUCUACCUUCUGAGGAACUUUCAUGCCAUUUAUUGGUGUGAUGGGAAAUCAGGACUGUUACUUUGAAAAAAUUAGAGUGUUUAAAGCAGGCUCACGCUUGAAUACAUUAGCAUGGAAUAAUGAAAUAGGACGUUUGAUUCUAUUUUGUUGGUUUCUAGGAUCGACGUAAUGAUUAAUAGGGAUAGUUGGGGGCAUUAGUAUUCAAUUGUCAGAGGUGAAAUUCUUGGAUUUAUUGAAGACUAACUACUGCGAAAGCAUUUGCCAAGGAUGUUUUUCAUUAAUCAAGGACGAAAGUUAGGGGAUCGAAGACGAUCAGAUACCGUCGUAGUCUUAACCAUAAACUAUGCCGACUAGGGAUCGGAUGAUGUUAAUUUUUUAAUGACUCAUUC
rnacentral:rRNA from 1 species